GUCAUCAUGGCCCUUACGACCAGGGCUACACACGUGCUACAAUGGCGCAUACAAAGAGAAGCGACCUCGCGAGAGCAAGCGGACCUCAUAAAGUGCGUCGUAGUCCGGAUUGGAGUCUGCAACUCGACUCCAUGAAGUCGGAAUCGCUAGUAAUCGUGGAUCAGAAUGCCACGGUGAAUACGUUCCCGGGCCUUGUACACACCGCCCGUCACACCAUGGGAGUGGGUUGCAAAAGAAGUAGGUAGCUUAACCUUCGGGAGGGCGCUUACCACUUUGUGAUUCAUGACUGGGGUGAAGUCGUAACAAGGUAACCGUAGGGGAACCUGCGGUUGGAUCACCUCCUUA
rnacentral:rRNA from 1 species